UACGUAGGGUGCGAGCGUUGUUCGGAUUCACUGGGCGUAAAGGGUGCGUAGGUGGCAUGGUAAGUUUGAUGUGAAAGCUCAGGGCUUAACCCUGAAAUGGCAUUGAAUACUACUGUGCUGGAGGUUUGGAGGGGGGACUGGAAUUCUUUGGUGUAGCAGUGAAAUGCGUAGAUAUCAAAGAGGAACACCAGUGGCGAAGGCGAGUCCCUGGACAACACCUGACACUGAGGCACGAAAGCUAGGGGAGCAAACGGG
rnacentral:rRNA from 1 species